UUCUACCCUUUCUCUCUCUAAAUCUCUGAUCAGAUUGCCGGAAAAUUCUAGAUAUGUCCGAUCAACCGCCACCGGUGGAUGAGAAUCUCCCCGGGGAAUUCGAUGGUCUUGCAGUUCCACCGCUUGACCAUACGUUUUUUGUCCAACAUAUCACCGAAGCAGAUCAGGGGAUCGGUGAUGAUUUUCCGAUGGAAUUUCGGAGUGUAGAUUUCUCGAUUGAUGAUGUUGAUUUUGAUGUAUCAUUCGAUGAUUUCUUCCCUAAUCCUAUGGAUGGAGAUGCGUUUCAAAAACCUAAUUGCUUGGCUGAUUGUAUCGGGUCGGAGCCGGGUCAAAUGGACUUUGGUCAACAUGGGAGUCAACUGAUCGGGAGUUUUGACGAUGCUUCUGGAAUAUUCAAGUCGACCUCGGGAGAUUCUCUGGAGGAAGCUCCGGGUUCCAAUUCGGUCCAGAUGGACCCUAAUUGCUUUGGUCAAUCUGGAAGUCAAUUGAUUGGGAAUUCUGUCGAUUCUUCUACUAAUGUCAAGUUGAAGUUGGAGGAAAUGAGCGAUAUUUCUGGUAAUCAGGCAGCAGGAGGUGUGAUGGUUAUGGACACGUCAUGGCUGGAACGCUGAACAAUCUCCGGCGAUGACGUGUCCAUAACCAUCACAC
rnacentral:misc_RNA from 1 species